GACGAACGCUGGCGGCGUGCUUAACACAUGCAAGUCGAACGGAAAGGCCCUGCUUUUGUGGGGUGCUCGAGUGGCGAACGGGUGAGUAACACGUGAGUAACCUGCCCUUGACUUUGGGAUAACUUCAGGAAACUGGGGCUAAUACCGGAUAGGAGCUCCUGCUGCAUGGUGGGGGUUGGAAAGUUUCGGCGGUUGGGGAUGGACUCGCGGCUUAUCAGCUUGUUGGUGGGGUAGUGGCUUACCAAGGCUUUGACGGGUAGCCGGCCUGAGAGGGUGACCGGCCACAUUGGGACUGAGAUACGGCCCAGACUCCUACGGGAGGCAGCAGUGGGGAAUAUUGCACAAUGGGCGGAAGCCUGAUGCAGCAACGCCGCGUGCGGGAUGACGGCCUUCGGGUUGUAAACCGCUUUCGCCUGUGACGAAGCGUGAGUGACGGUAAUGGGUAAAGAAGCACCGGCUAACUACGUGCCAGCAGCCGCGGUGAUACGUAGGGUGCGAGCGUUGUCCGGAUUUAUUGGGCGUAAAGGGCUCGUAGGUGGUUGAUCGCGUCGGAAGUGUAAUCUUGGGGCUUAACCCUGAGCGUGCUUUCGAUACGGGUUGACUUGAGGAAGGUAGGGGAGAAUGGAAUUCCUGGUGGAGCGGUGGAAUGCGCAGAUAUCAGGAGGAACACCAGUGGCAAAGGCGGUUCUCUGGGCCUUUCCUGACGCUGAGGAGUGAAAGCGUGGGGAGCGAACAGGCUUAGAUACCCUGGUAGUCCACGCUGUAAACGGUGGGUACUAGGUGUGGGGUCCAUUCCACGGGUUCCGUGCCGUAGCUAACGCUUUAAGUACCCCGCCUGGGGAGUACGGCCGCAAGGCUAAAACUCAAAGGAAUUGACGGGGCCCCGCACAAGCGGCGGAGCAUGCGGAUUAAUUCGAUGCAACGCGUAGAACCUUACCUGGGUUUGACAUGGAUCGGGAGUGCUCAGAGAUGGGUGUGCCUCUUUUGGGGUCGGUUCACAGGUGGUGCAUGGCUGUCGUCAGCUCGUGUCGUGAGAUGUUGGGUUAAGUCCCGCAACGAGCGCAACCCUUGUUCACUGUUGCCAGCACGUUAUGGUGGGGACUCAGUGGAGACCGCCGGGGUCAACUCGGAGGAAGGUGGGGAUGACGUCAAGUCAUCAUGCCCCUUAUGUCCAGGGCUUCACGCAUGCUACAAUGGCUGGUACAGAGAGUGGCGAGCCUGUGAGGGUGAGCGAAUCUCGGAAAGCCGGUCUCAGUUCGGAUUGGGGUCUGCAACUCGACCUCAUGAAGUCGGAGUCGCUAGUAAUCGCAGAUCAGCAACGCUGCGGUGAAUACGUUCCCGGG
rnacentral:rRNA from 1 species